GAUAAACGCUGGCGGCGUGCCUAAAACAUGCAAGUCGAACGGGUGACUUCGGUCACCAGUGGCGAACGGCUGAGUAACGCGUGGGUGACCUCGCUCCGAGUGGGGGAUAACUGCCCGAAAGGGUGGCUAAUACCGCAUGUGCUCGUGGGAUCGUUCCUACGCGCAAAGUCGCAAGACGCUCGGAGAUGGGCCCGCGUCCGAUUAGCUUGUUGGUGGGGUAACGGCCUACCAAGGCGACGAUCGGUAGCUGGUCUCAGAGGAUGAUCAGCCAGACUGGGACUGCGACACGGCCCAGACUCCUACGGGAGGCAGCAGUUAGGAAUUUUGGGCAAUGGGCGAAAGCCUGACCCAGCAACGCCGCGUGGGGGACGAAGGCCUUCGGGUUGUAAACCCCUUUUCCGAGGGAAGAUAGUGACGGUACCUCGGGAAUAAGCCCCGGCUAACUACGUGCCAGCAGCCGCGGUAAUACGUAGGGGGCUAGCGUUGUCCGGAUUUAUUGGGCGUAAAGCGCACGCAGGCGGCACGGCAAGUGGACGGUGAAAUCCUCCGGCUCAACUGGAGGGGGUCCGGCCAUACUGCCGCGCUCGAGGUCGCGAGGGGGAAGCGGAAUUCCCGGUGUAGUGGUGGAAUGCGUAGAUAUCGGGAGGAACACCAGUGGCGAAGGCGGCUUCCUGGCGCGAUUCUGACGCUGAGGUGCGAAAGCGUGGGGAGCGAUCCGGAUUAGAUACCCGGGUAGUCCACGCCCUAAACGUUGCGGACUAGGUGUCGGGGGUAUCGACCCCCCCGGUGCCGGAGCUAACGCAUUAAGUCCGCCGCCUGGGGACUACGGCCGCAAGGCUA
rnacentral:rRNA from 1 species